CGGGUGAGUAAUGCCUAGGAAUCUGCCUGGUAGUGGGGGACAACGUUUCGAAAGGAACGCUAAUACCGCAUACGUCCUACGGGAGAAAGCAGGGGACCUUCGGGCCUUGCGCUAUCAGAUGAGCCUAGGUCGGAUUAGCUAGUUGGUGAGGUAAUGGCUCACCAAGGCGACGAUCCGUAACUGGUCUGAGAGGAUGAUCAGUCACACUGGAACUGAGACACGGUACAGACUCCUACGGGAGGCAGCAGCG
rnacentral:rRNA from 1 species